rnacentral:lncRNA from 1 species
UUUUCAUUUGCUUCUAUCUUUAUAAUCUGUCUAAAUGCACACAUAUUUUCACAUGGCUUUAAUCAUAAGUGACAUAUAGAUUUAAAAUUUUCACUUUAAUGUUAUAUCUUAAACACAGUCCAUUUAAAAAAAUAAUUUUUAAUGGCCACAUGAUAGCCCAGUGGGUUAAUGAGGCAUAAUUUACUUAACCAUACCCGUAUCAUUGGAUAUUUCAGUGAUUCUAAUUUUUCACUAUUGUAAGUAAUUAACACUAGAGUGGACAUCUUCAUACACGGUCUUCUUUCUUUUGGUUAUCUUUCUGUCAUUUAUUUUUUAACCUGAUUGGCCUGCAAUCAGAGAACAUGAUUUGUGUGGUGCUGAUUCUGGGAAACUUGUUGAGACUGGCUUUGUAUAGCCAAAUAUGUGGUCAGUUUUCAUGUAUGUUUCUUGUACUCUUAAGAAAAAUGUGCAUUCUCUGUAGUUGGAUUCAAGAUUCUAUACAUGUCCUUUUGAUCAAGCUUGUUAAUUGUAUUGUUCGUAUUUUCUGUAUUCUACUAAUUUUUGGUCAUGUGACAUCAAUUACUGAGAAAGGUAUAUGUUAUAUCCUACUAUGGUGGUGGACUUGUUAGUUUCUCUUCAUAAUUCUGUCAGUUUUUGCUGUAUGUUAUUUGAAGAUAUCAUUGGGUACAUAUAUAACUUCAGAAUUAGUGUCUCUUCCUGGUGAAUUGAAUUUGUUAUCAUUAUGUCAUUACUAUAUUUAUUCCUAAUAGUGCAUUUUUGCCUUGAAGGCUAUUUGGUCCAGUAGGAACAGAGCCACUCUAACUUUUUUCUGGCAAACAACUCCAAGAUGGUAGAACUAGGAUUGAAGGAUCCCGGAUUCUUUUGUCAUUGAUUGAAGGAGCAACAGCCAGAGCAGCAGCCCGACCUGAUGAACUGUGAUGUGAGCAAGAAAUAAAGUUUGUUGUGUUAAGCCCCAACAGUCAUAGGGGUUGUUUGUUACAGCAGCUAACAUUAAUUAUUCUGAUAUACCAUGUCUUUGUGUUUUAGGUUUUCUCUAGGACACAGCAAAUAUCUGGAAUGUUUAGUUUUGUUUUAAUCCAAUCUGAGGAUAUCUUUCUUUUGACUGGCCCUCAGCUCCUUUGUCGAAGAUAAGCUGUCCAUAGAUGUGUGGUUUUAUUUCUG